CACGACGUUCCUUGUGAGAGACGUGUGCGGCUGCGCGCUCCAGUAACACUGCACACUCCACAGGCGCUGCAUACAAUGUUUUUGUCAGGAGACAGGAGUAACAACUGCAGAUUAUGAGUUACCUGCGGUGUACUUGUGGUAACUCUGCAAGGAUGCCCACAGAAUGCGAAGGAUGCUGCAAAGAGACGCCCAAGGUUCUAAGCAGAAUGAACCAGCUACCAUCCCCUUCAAACUGCAUGACUGACCAUCCUGGUCUUCAACCUGAAUGCUUGGAUGUUUUUUCUUUAUUUAUUGUGGGUAUUUAGAGUAACAUAAGUAAAUUAAAAAAAAAUUAUUAUGCAUUUAAAACAUCACAAUUGUAACAAAUUACAAAGAUUUUAGUAAAUAGUAAAAACUUUAUUACAAUCAUAUUACAGUCAUUUAUACCAUGAAAAUAACUAAACCGAAACAUUGUAAUCCCAUAAAUAUUUCCAUGUGCAUGGAUUUCUUAUAAUUAUUUUCAAGACACUCCGAUGUGCAUAGACUUUUCUAAAAACAUAUCUUAAAAUAUACAGUGACAAACGGCCAGUGUUAUUUACAAUAUACUUGUAGAACCAUUGCUCUGUUAGCAUCUUUUCAGGUCUAUAAAGCACACUAAAUGUUGACAGUUCAUCUCUUCACAAUCUUGUCCAGUUUCUUUGACAAGCCUGUUUAAAAAUGUGUAAUGUUUAAGAAGGAUACAUUUAAAAUAAAAUAAAUACUUUUAUAAUAAGGAUUAUAUAAAUAAUUAGACAUAUAAUCUUGUUUGACUCAAACACACAAAAAAAAAUCAACAACUGACCUUUUUUCCUGAUGCCAGAUAUCAUAGAACUGUUUGAUAUUGUUGUCUUUUUGAUAUUUUUGGAUUCGUGGGUGACGGUCAGUGUCUAUGUCAUCCAAGACAAUACCAUGUGCUGCCAGCUUUUUCAGGCUCCUUUUCAGGCCCUUCAGUUCCAUAUGGUAGCUUCCUCCAACUUCGUUGCUCUGAUGGUAUAGAGAAGACAGGUGUUUUCUAAGAUAUUUCACUAAGUUAUUCAAACUUCAAGCAAUGGUUGUCUGACAUUCAGUAAAAAGUAAACUGCCAGUAACUAUACAAAAAGUACUGAUACAUGGAGUGAUGAGCUGCAUGUAAGUGCAGCACCAUCUUGGUUAUGUUCCUUUCCAAGUCAGAUGGGAUGUGCUAUUGGUUGAAUUAAAAACUACUACAUUUUGUGACAAACACUCCCCAAAAACUUGGUGAAGCAAAGACCC